rnacentral:rRNA from 1 species
GAUUAAGUUAUUAAGGGCGCACGGUGGAUGCCUUGGCACUAGAAGCCGAUGAAGGACGUUACUAACGACGAUAUGCUUUGGGGAGCUGUAAGUAAGCUUUGAUCCAGAGAUUUCCGAAUGGGGAAACCCAGCAUGAGUUAUGUCAUGUUAUCGAUAUGUGAAUACAUAGCAUAUCAGAAGGCACACCCGGAGAACUGAAACAUCUUAGUACCCGGAGGAAGAGAAAGAAAAUUCGAUUCCCUUAGUAGCGGCGAGCGAAACGGGAAGAGCCCAAACCAACAAGCUUGCUUGUUGGGGUUGUAGGACACUCUAUACGGAGUUACAAAGGACGACAUUAGACGAAUCAUCUGGAAAGAUGAAUCAAAGAAGGUAAUAAUCCUGUAGUCGAAAAUGUUGUCUCUCUUGAGUGGAUCCUGAGUACGACGGAGCACGUGAAAUUCCGUCGGAAUCUGGGAGGACCAUCUCCUAAGGCUAAAUACUCUCUAGUGACCGAUAGUGAACCAGUACCGUGAGGGAAAGGUGAAAAGCACCCCGGAAGGGGAGUGAAAUAGAACCUGAAACCGUGUGCUUACAAGUAGUCAGAGCCCGUUAAUGGGUGAUGGCGUGCCUUUUGUAGAAUGAACCGGCGAGUUACGAUUUGAUGCAAGGUUAAGCAGUAAAUGUGGAGCCGUAGCGAAAGCGAGUCUGAAUAGGGCGUUUAGUAUUUGGUCGUAGACCCGAAACCAGGUGAUCUACCCUUGGUCAGGUUGAAGUUCAGGUAACACUGAAUGGAGGACCGAACCGACUUACGUUGAAAAGUGAGCGGAUGAACUGAGGGUAGCGGAGAAAUUCCAAUCGAACCUGGAGAUAGCUGGUUCUCUCCGAAAUAGCUUUAGGGCUAGCCUCAAGUGAUGAUUAUUGGAGGUAGAGCACUGUUUGGACGAGGGGCCCCUCUCGGGUUACCGAAUUCAGACAAACUCCGAAUGCCAAUUAAUUUAACUUGGGAGUCAGAACAUGGGUGAUAAGGUCCGUGUUCGAAAGGGAAACAGCCCAGACCACCAGCUAAGGUCCCAAAAUAUAUGUUAAGUGGAAAAGGAUGUGGCGUUGCCCAGACAACUAGGAUGUUGGCUUAGAAGCAGCCAUCAUUUAAAGAGUGCGUAAUAGCUCACUAGUCGAGUGACACUGCGCCGAAAAUGUACCGGGGCUAAACAUAUUACCGAAGCUGUGGAUUGUCCUUUGGACAAUGGUAGGAGAGCGUUCUAAGGGCGUUGAAGCAUGAUCGUAAGGACAUGUGGAGCGCUUAGAAGUGAGAAUGCCGGUGUGAGUAGCGAAAGACGGGUAAGAAUCCCGUCCACCGAUUGACUAAGGUUUCCAGAGGAAGGCUCGUCCGCUCUGGGUUAGUCGGGUCCUAAGCUGAGGCCGACAGGCGUAGGCGAUGGAUAACAGGUUGAUAUUCCUGUACCACCUAUAAUCGUUUUAAUCGAUGGGGGGACGCAGUAGGAUAGGCGAAGCGUGCGAUUGGAUUGCACGUCUAAGCAGUAAGGCUGAGUAUUAGGCAAAUCCGGUACUCGUUAAGGCUGAGCUGUGAUGGGGAGAAGACAUUGUGUCUUCGAGUCGUUGAUUUCACACUGCCGAGAAAAGCCUCUAGAUAGAAAAUAGGUGCCCGUACCGCAAACCGACACAGGUAGUCAAGAUGAGAAUUCUAAGGUGAGCGAGCGAACUCUCGUUAAGGAACUCGGCAAAAUGACCCCGUAACUUCGGGAGAAGGGGUGCUCUUUAGGGUUAACGCCCAGAAGAGCCGCAGUGAAUAGGCCCAAGCGACUGUUUAUCAAAAACACAGGUCUCUGCUAAACCGUAAGGUGAUGUAUAGGGGCUGACGCCUGCCCGGUGCUGGAAGGUUAAGAGGAGUGGUUAGCUUCUGCGAAGCUACGAAUCGAAGCCCCAGUAAACGGCGGCCGUAACUAUAACGGUCCUAAGGUAGCGAAAUUCCUUGUCGGGUAAGUUCCGACCCGCACGAAAGGCGUAACGAUUUGGGCACUGUCUCAACGAGAGACUCGGUGAAAUCAUAGUACCUGUGAAGAUGCAGGUUACCCGCGACAGGACGGAAAGACCCCGUGGAGCUUUACUGUAGCCUGAUAUUGAAAUUCGGCACAGCUUGUACAGGAUAGGUAGGAGCCUUUGAAACGUGAGCGCUAGCUUACGUGGAGGCGCUGGUGGGAUACUACCCUAGCUGUGUUGGCUUUCUAACCCGCACCACUUAUCGUGGUGGGAGACAGUGUCAGGCGGGCAGUUUGACUGGGGCGGUCGCCUCCUAAAAGGUAACGGAGGCGCUCAAAGGUUCCCUCAGAAUGGUUGGAAAUCAUUCAUAGAGUGUAAAGGCAUAAGGGAGCUUGACUGCGAGACCUACAAGUCGAGCAGGGUCGAAAGACGGACUUAGUGAUCCGGUGGUUCCGCAUGGAAGGGCCAUCGCUCAACGGAUAAAAGCUACCCCGGGGAUAACAGGCUUAUCUCCCCCAAGAGUUCACAUCGACGGGGAGGUUUGGCACCUCGAUGUCGGCUCAUCGCAUCCUGGGGCUGUAGUCGGUCCCAAGGGUUGGGCUGUUCGCCCAUUAAAGCGGUACGCGAGCUGGGUUCAGAACGUCGUGAGACAGUUCGGUCCCUAUCCGUCGUGGGCGUAGGAAAUUUGAGAGGAGCUGUCCUUAGUACGAGAGGACCGGGAUGGACAUACCUCUGGUGUACCAGUUGUCGUGCCAACGGCAUAGCUGGGUAGCUAUGUGUGGACGGGAUAAGUGCUGAAAGCAUCUAAGCAUGAAGCCCCCCUCAAGAUGAGAUUUCCCAACUUCGGUUAUAAGAUC